GUAAUUACAGUCUCCCGGGGCAGUGGCCACCAGGGCUGACUCAGCUCCAGGAGGUGCUCCACAGCCAAGGGGUGUGACCUCCUGGGGUGGACGGGCGCAGCCCCACCCUGCCUUGCUGAGCGGGCCUGGGGUGGCCCCCGCCUCUGGGCCUUGGUUUCCCCAACGGUACGACGCCAGGGUGCCCCAGAUGCUCCACCAGGGCCCUUCAGCACCAGCAGCCCCUGCUUGUUAAGCUGGUAACCCCGCUUUGCACUGGGGCUCCUCACAGGCCAGUGCAUGCUGGGUCCUAGCGUUCAGUGGCUUCCAUGAGCAGUUCAAACCCGAGCUCCACAACUCAAAAGCAAAGAAAACACACAAAAAGGGCCCUGGUUUGUAGAAUUCAGCUGACUGUUUGAAGCUGCAUCUCAGCUCUGCAGUCUCAGGUCCUUCCUGGACGGCCACAGGCACCUCACACUGAACAGCUGCCUAAACUCAUUCUCUCCCCUGUCCCCAAACAUCGCAUCACCCAGGCCAGACGCUGGGGUUGGGGGGUCCCUACAUGCCUUCCUCACUCUCACUCCCCUCAUCACUGAUUUCUGUCCGUUCUGCAUCCGCACGUUCCUCGAAUUUGCGUCUUCCUCCUGUCCAUGGCUGCUGGCCAGUGCACUCCAGGCCUCCCCGGCCAUCUCCUCCCCAGUUUCCCAGGCCCCACCAUCCCUCCAGACACCAGCCCUGGAGGGGACUUCCGAAACAGAAAUCUGACUCUGCCCCUGUCUCCUCAGAGUCUGUGUGGCCUCCCUGCACCCUGACUUAGAUCCCUCUGGGAGAUAGGGCCUGGGAACACUGCCUGGAGCCUGAGAAACAUGGAGCCCCUCAGCCCCUGGCCUCUGCCAUUCCAGACCAAGAGAAUUUCCCCCUCGAGCUAGGAAAGUGAUGAUAAAUGUCCCUGGCUUUAGUCAUCCCCGGCCACAGAGACCCACACACAGAAGUAUCCAUGCUCACACUGUCACACAUGCGGCCAUGCAAACGUGCCCAGACACACGCACAGCCGAGGCCUCUCACACGUGCACGCGAGACCAACACACAAGCACACUCACACACAUGCACCCACACACGGACACCCACAACCUGAGACACACACGAAGAACUCACACGCCACAACUACGUACAUAUGCGGGGAGCCAUUCAAAAUAUCAAAACGUGUGGCGAGGGCACCAGAAAGAUGAUGACUAUAAACCCUGGCACAGGCUCGUUGGGGUGGACUUGCCGAAUAACAGCCUGGCAUGUACCCACGCAUACCUGUGGUCUCAUCAUAAACAUAGUAAUUAUGCACACACACACACACACGUACACAAACAUGCUUGUGUCUCACUCUUGUGCACAUCCAUGCACAAGAGUGGAUGUGCGCACACGCACACCUCUCCUCUCGUCCACCUGCACGCACAGGUCAGCAGGAGGAGGAAGCAGGAGGAAAGGGUCAGCCCCUGUGGGGUGGCGGGGGCGGUGCCUUCGAUCUUGGUUCAGCUCAGUCUUCCAACUGGGUGGUAACUGACUCUGAACUGCAAAGAAUGGAUUCUGGGCCCACCGAGAAGGGAGAAGGCCAAUAUCCCCUAGGGGCUCGCUGUCCCUGGGGCAGAGCUGAGACCCAAGCCUCCUCCCUCACGGACGAACUCUUUGCCUGAGCCAGUCAGGACACAGGCCCCAGGACACAGACCAGCCGCCAGCAAGCUGCUGCACCGUCUGGCACGCUUUGUCCCUGGGCUUGCCAACCUGUAAUUGCAAGGACUGGCAUUGGGGCACAAGGGCACCGCCUGGUUUCCACGGGCCGGCAGCAGCCCAACAAGCCAGUGGGCAGGCAGGUGGGGACUGAGGCACUGAAGGGAGCAAAACCUUUGCGUCCUCCCAGAGAAUUCGGCUGAGAUUGUGAGCUCUUCUGGUGGGCCGUGCUGCCAGCCAAAAGACACCUGUUAGAUCUUGGCAAAGAGGUGGGGCCCUCAGAGGAAGGACGAGUGGGCCUGUCUCAGCCCCUCUCAGACAGCCCCUGGUGGGGCCUGGUUUGUCCAGCCCAGAAAGCCAGGUAGAAAGGGCUUAUCCAAGAGGCUCUCUAAGGGCCAAGUCUGGGAAGUGGUAGGAACGCUUCCCAGAGUUGGGAAGCUCACAUAGCCCAGGUUUCCGCACCACUCCAGGGACCACACAGCAGAUCCCACAGCCAUCCCCUGCAUCCUGGGCUGACCCUUGAUGACAGCUAUGGUGGACCAUGUCCUGGCUGAUCUCUGCCAACCACGCUGCAAGCUCCCCUGUGGACACCAGAUGGGCAGUUAUCAGGCCUCCAUCCCAGGUCCUCACUCAGGAGUCUUCAAGACUGGGAAGGGGCUGGGCACAGUGGCUCCCACCUGUANNNNNNNNNNNNNNNNNNNNNNNNNNNNNNNNNNNNNNNNNNNNNNNNNNNNNNNNNNNNNNNNNNNNNNNNNNNNNNNNNNNNNNNNNNNNNNNNNNNNNNNNNNAAAAAUACAAAAAUUAGCCAGGUGUGGCCG
rnacentral:lncRNA from 1 species